AUUGAACGCUGGCGGCAGGCCUAACACAUGCCAGUCGAACGGUACCAGGAAGCAGCUUGCUGCUUUGCUGACGAGUGGCGGACGGGUGAGUAAUGUCUGGGAAACUGCCUGAUGGAGGGGGAUAACUACUGGAAACGGUAGCUAAUACCGCAUAACGUCGCAAGACCAAAGAGGGGGACCUUAGGGCCUCUUGCCAUCGGAUGUGCCCAGAUGGGAUUAGCUAGUAGGUGGGGUAACGGCUCACCUAGGCGACGAUCCCUAGCUGGUCUGAGAGGAUGACCAGCCACACUGGAACUGAGACACGGUCCAGACUCCUACGGGAGGCAGCAGUGGGGAAUAUUGCACAAUGGGCGCAAGCCUGAUGCAGCCAUGCCGCGUGUAUGAAGAAGGCCUUCGGGUUGUAAAGUACUUUCAGCGGGGAGGAAGGGAGUAAAGUUAAUACCUUUGCUCAUUGACGUUACCCGCAGAAGAAGCACCGGCUAACUCCGUG
rnacentral:rRNA from 1 species